CGAGUUUGAUCCUGGCUCAGGAUAAACGCUGGCGGCGUGCCUAACACAUGCAAGUCGAACGCCCUAUGCGCAAGUGUAGGGAGUGGCGGACGGGUGAGUAACACGUGGGAUAUCUACCCAGAGGUGAGGAAUACCGGCGAGAAAUCGCCGACAAUACCGCAUGCGCUCUGUCAAGAGCAAAGCCUGGUAACGGGCGCCACUGGACGAUCCUGCGGUCGAUUAGCUAGUUGGCGGGGUCAAAGCCCACCAAGGCGACGAUCGAUAGCUGGUCUGAGAGGACGAUCAGCCACACUGGGAUUGAGAACGGCCCAGACUCCUACGGGGGGCAGCAGUGAGGAAUUUUCGUCAAUGGGGGCAACCCUGAACGAGCAACGCCGCGUGCAGGAAGAAGGUUUUCGGAUCGUAAACUGCUUUUCUCUGGGACGAGCAAGGACGGUACCAGAGGAAUCAGCCCCGGCUAACUACGUGCCAGCAGCCGCGGUAAUACGUAGGGGGCAAGCGUUGUCCGGAUUUAUUGGGCGUAAAGGGUCCGCAGGCGGUUUGGUAAGUUUGACGUGACAGUUCCUGGCUCAACUGGGAAAGUGCGUUGGAAACUGCCAGACUUGAGGGCUUCAGAGGGAUGCGGAAUUCCGGGUGGAGUGGUGAAAUGCGUAGAUAUCCGGAGGAACACCAAAGGCGAAGGCAGCAUCCUGGGAAGUCGCUGACGCUCAGGGACGAAAGCUAGGGGAGCGAACGGGAUUAGAUACCCCGGUAGUCCUAGCCGUAAACGAUGACCACUAGACGUAAGAGGUAUCGACCCCCCUUGUGUCGCAGUUAACACGAUAAGUGGUCCGCCUGGGGAGUACGGUCCAAGAUUAAAACUCAAAGGAAUUGACGGGGACCCGCACAAGCAGCGGAGCGUGUGGUUUAAUUCGAUCAACGCGAAGAACCUUACCAAGGCUUGACAUGCAUUUGCACCAGCAGUAACGCGCUGUCUCUUCGGAGCGGAUGCACAGGUGCUGCAUGGCUGUCGUCAGCUCGUGUCGUGAGAUGUUGGGUUAAGUCCCGCAACGAGCGCAACCCCUGUGGUUAGUUGAAUGUUCUAGCCAGACUGCCACGAUUAACGUGGAGGAAGGCGGGGAUGACGUCAAGUCAGCACGGCCCUUACGCCUUGGGCGACACACACGCUACAAUGGUCAGGACAAAGAGUUGCCAACCCGCGAGGGGGAGCUAAUCUCGUCAAACCUGGCCUCAGUUCAGAUCGGAGGCUGCAACCCGCCUCCGUGAAGUUGGAGUUGCUAGUAACCGUAAGUCAGCACAUUACGGUGAAUACGUUCCCGGGUCUUGUACACACCGCCCGUCACACCACGAAAGUCGGCAACACCUGAAGCCGUCGGGCUAACUCUUCGGAGAGGCAGGCGUCGAGGGUGGGGUCGGUGAUUGGGGUGAAGUCGUAACAAGGUA
rnacentral:rRNA from 1 species